rnacentral:rRNA from 1 species
UACGUAGGGAGCAAGCGUUGUUCGGAUUUACUGGGCGUAAAGGGCGCGUAGGCGGCAAAUUAAGUCAGCUGCGAAAUCUCCGAGCUUAACUCGGAACUGUCAGCUGAUACUGAUCUGCUAGAGUGCGGAAGGGGCAAUCGGAAUUCUUGGUGUAGCGGUGAAAUGCGUAGAUAUCAAGAGGAACACCUGAGGUGAAGACGGGUUGCUGGGCCGACACUGACGCUGAGUGCGCGAAAGCCAGGGGGGCAAACGGG